rnacentral:tRNA from 1 species
GGGUGUAGCUUGGUGGUAGAGCAUUUGCCUAAAGUGUGAGGCCCUGGGUUCCAUCCCCAGCACUGCA